GAUCAUGGCUCAGGAUGAACGCUAGCUACAGGCUUAACACAUGCAAGUCGAGGGGAAACGACAGAGGAAGCUUGCUUCCUUUGGGCGUCGACCGGCGCACGGGUGAGUAACGCGUAUCCAACCUUCCCGCAAGUAAGGGAUAACCCGUAGAAAUGCGGCCUAAUACCUUAUGUUUUCCUUAGAGGGCAUCUGAUGAGGAACAAAGAUCCGUCGCUUGCGGAUGGGGAUGCGUCCGAUUAGCUUGUUGGCGGGGUAACGGCCCACCAAGGCAUCGAUCGGUAGGGGUUCUGAGAGGAAGGUCCCCCACAUUGGAACUGAGACACGGUCCAAACUCCUACGGGAGGCAGCAGUGAGGAAUAUUGGUCAAUGGAGGCAACUCUGAACCAGCCAAGUAGCGUGCAGGAUGACGGCCCUAUGGGUUGUAAACUGCUUUUAUGCGGGGAUAAACUGACUCACGUGUGGGUCAUUGCAGGUACCGCAUGAAUAAGGACCGGCUAAUUCCGUG
rnacentral:rRNA from 1 species